UUAUUUGAUCCUUGGCCGGCAUCCACAACCCUCUUCAUCCUCUUCCUCUUUAUCUCUAGAUCCAUCACCAGAAAAUAAACUGGAAGCAUUUUGCAAAUACCUUUAUCAUCCUUUCUAAGGAGAAAAUAGUUUAUCUGAUUCUUAGUCACCAUACUAUGAAAUGUUACUAAUUGCUCCAGCUUCUUAGGGAAUCUUGAAUUAGCUACUAUCAGAACAAAAGCUUUGGAGAAUCCCAAAGGACUGUGGCGUCUUUGUUGCUGCUUAUGCAGAAAUAUUAAGUGAAGGACAGCAAGUGCAUUCAUGCGUGUUUGAUGCUGGAAGUCAACGUUUACGCUAUGCUUCAUUACUGUGGCAUUACAGAGUAGAAAAGACAAAUGAAGGGUACACGAGUGAUAAUGGUGAUCCUCCUCGGCCAAGGAAUAGUGUACUCCAAGAAAUUGAUGAAAGUGCAAUUGUUAUUUUAGAGUAGCAUUAUUUAAUAAAAGUCGAAAUUGAAUCAACUAAAUCUUAAUUUUGUGGUUGAUGUUAAACGAAUUCAAAGAUUACUUUCUGGAUGUUAAAUUUACAUUUAUGGAUGUCUUCGUCUUAUGAGAAUAUGUUUUUUAGUCACUGAGACACUACUGCAAUGUUACUAACUGAUUCAUGGUA